rnacentral:rRNA from 1 species
AUGCCGGUCGAAGAUACCAGGCCGCUGCGACUGUUUAUUAAAAACACAGCACUCUGCAAACACGAAAGUGGACGUAUAGGGUGUGACGCCUGCCCGGUGCCGGAAGGUUAAUUGAUGGGGUUAGCGCAAGCGAAGCUCUUGAUCGAAGCCCCGGUAAACGGCGGCCGUAACUAUAACGGUCCUAAGGUAGCGAAAUUCCUUGUCGGGUAAGUUCCGACCUGCACGAAUGGCGUAACGAUGGCGGCGCUGUCUCCACCCGAGACUCAGUGAAAUUGAAAUCGCUGUGAAGAUGCAGUGUAUCCGCGGCUAGACGGAAAGACCCCGUGAACCUUUACUAUAGCUUUGCACUGGACUUUGAAUUUGCUUGUGUAGGAUAGGUGGGAGGCUUUGAAGUGGGGACGCCAGUUCUCAUGGAGCCAUCCUUGAAAUACCACCCUGGCAACUUUGAGGUUCUAACUCAGGUCCGUUAUCCGGAUCGAGGACAGUGUAUGGUGGGUAGUUUGACUGGGGCGGUCUCCUCCCAAAGAGUAACGGAGGAGUACGAAGGUGCGCUCAGACCGGUCGGAAAUCGGUCGUAGAGUAUAAAGGCAAAAGCGCGCUUGACUGCGAGACAAACACGUCGAGCAGGUACGAAAGUAGGUCUUAGUGAUCCGGUGGUUCUGUAUGGAAGGGCCAUCGCUCAACGGAUAAAAGGUACUCCGGGGAUAACAGGCUGAUACCGCCCAAGAGUUCAUAUCGACGGCGGUGUUUGGCACCUCGAUGUCGGCUCAUCACAUCCUGGGGCUGAAGCCGGUCCCAAGGGUAUGGCUGUUCGCCAUUUAAAGUGGUACGCGAGCUGGGUUUAGAACGUCGUGAGACAGUUCGGUCCCUAUCUGCCGUGGACGUUUGAGAUUUGAGAGGGGCUGCUCCUAGUACGAGAGGACCGGAGUGGACGAACCUCUGGUGUUCCGGUUGUCACGCCAGUGGCAUUGCCGGGUAGCUAUGUUCGGAAGAGAUAACCGCUGAAAGCAUCUAAGCGGGAAACUUGCCUCAAGAUGAGAUCUCA